rnacentral:rRNA from 2 species
UUGAUAGUACCUUACUACAUGGAUAACCGUGGUAAUUCUAGAGCUAAUACAUGCUAAAAACCCCAACUUCGGGAGGGGUGUAUUUAUUAGAUAAAAAACCAACGCCCUUCGGGGCUUCUUGGUGAUUCAUAAUAACUUUACGGAUCGCAUGGCCUUGCGCCGGCGACGGUUCAUUCAAAUUUCUGCCCUAUCAACUUUCGAUGGUAAGGUAUUGGCUUACCAUGGUUUCAACGGGUAACGGGGAAUUAGGGUUCGAUUCCGGAGAGGGAGCCUGAGAAACGGCUACCACAUCCAAGGAAGGCAGCAGGCGCGCAAAUUACCCAAUCCCGACACGGGGAGGUAGUGACAAUAAAUACUGAUACAGGGCUCUUUUGGGUCUUGUAAUUGGAAUGAGUACAAUUUAAACCUCUUAACGAGGAACAAUUGGAGGGCAAGUCUGGUGCCAGCAGCCGCGGUAAUUCCAGCUCCAAUAGCGUAUAUUAAAGUUGUUGCAGUUAAAAAGCUCGUAGUUGAAACUUGGGUCUGGCUGGCAGGUCCGCCUCACCGCGUGUACUUGUCCGGCCGGGCCUUCCUUCUGGAGAACCUCAUGCCCUUCACUGGGCGUGUUGGGGACCAGGACUUUUACUUUGAAAAAAUUAGAGUGUUCAAAGCAGGCCUUUGCUCGAAUACGUUAGCAUGGAAUAAUAGAAUAGGACGUGCGGUCCUAUUUUGUUGGUUUCUAGGACCGCCGUAAUGAUUAAUAGGGACAGUCGGGGGCAUCAGUAUUCAAUUGUCAGAGGUGAAAUUCUUGGAUUUAUUGAAGACUAACUACUGCGAAAGCAUUUGCCAAGGAUGUUUUCAUUAAUCAGUGAACGAAAGUUAGGGGAUCGAAGACGAUCAGAUACCGUCGUAGUCUUAACCGUAAACUAUGCCGACUAGGGAUCGGGCGAUGUUCUUUUUCUGACUCGCUCGGCACCUUACGAGAAAUCAAA